rnacentral:tRNA from 1 species
GCUCAGUCGGCAGAGCGACAGGCUGUUAACCUGUAGGUCGCUGGUUCAAACCCAGCCGAGAGCGAUUUUUAUU